rnacentral:rRNA from 1 species
UACGUAGGGGGCAAGCGUUGUCCGGAUUUAUUGGGCGUAAAGAGCGUGUAGGCGGCCAGGUAGGUCGGUUGUGAAAACUGGAGGCUUAACCUCCAGACGUCGACCGAAACCAUCUGGCUAGAGUCCGGAAGAGGAGAGUGGAAUUCCUGGCGUAGCGGUGAAAUGCGCAGAUAUCAGGAGGAACACCAGCGGCGAAGGCGGCGCUCUGGGCCGGUACUGACACUGAGGAGCGAAAGCGUGGGUAGCAAACAGG